rnacentral:rRNA from 1 species
AUUGAACGCUGGCGGCAGGCCUAACACAUGCAAGUCGAACGAGUGGCGGACUGGUGAGUAAUGUCUGGGAAACUGCCUGAUGGAGGGGGAUAACUACUGGAAACGGUAGCUAAUACCGCAUACAAUCAGAUGUGCCCAGAUGGGAUUGGCUAGUUGGUGGGUUAACGGCUCACCAAGGCGACGAUCCCCAGCUGGGCUGAGAGGAUGACCAGCCACACUGGAACUGAGAACCGGCCCAGAGUCCUACGGGAGGCAGCAGUGGGGAAUAUUGCACAAUGGGCGAAAGCCUGAUGCAGCCAUGCCGCGUGUAUGAAGAAGGCCUUCGGGUUGUAAAGUACUUUCAUCGGGGAGGCGUUACCCGCAGAAGAAGCACCGGCUAACUCCGUGCCAGCAGCCGCGGUAAUAC